GGUUACUAUUGCAUUUUAUUUUCUUAAGCUGACGGUGACCUACUAAAUUAAUUUCAUUACCUUUUAAUGUGUCAGAGCCUGCACUGUAGAAAAACAAAUGAGCAAAAGAGUUGAAAUGGAGUGCUGAGGGGCUUGAAGCCAUUAUUUGAAGAAAGGGCAACCAUGUUCAUAACUGUGUUGGACUUAAGGUUGUUAAUCAUGACAGACAACAGGAUAAGCAGAUGGCAGUGGGAUGGAAGGGGGCCCUGGAUAAGCCAUGGAAACACAGUCAAUGGCCCAGUUGCACCAAAAGAUUGAGCGAGUAUAAGUACCAGCAGCUCCCAGAACAAUAAGAACACCGAAGGCCACAGGUUAGCAUUCAAAAGUAGAACUCAACCUAAAAUCACUCCAGGUAAGAUGUUUUGACAGCCUUCUUUUGCAGUAAUGGUCUAGAUUUAUUUAUAAUGAAG
rnacentral:lncRNA from 1 species